AUUUCAACUCACUUUGUUUUGAGUUGAUUAUUGGUUCACCAAUCUACUAGGCUUUGAAUUUCAUGGGUAAAUGUUUUGUUUUUGAGUGCAUGUAAGCAUGAUUCCGCCUUUAAUUGUUAAUUGCAUGCUAUAUGAUGUUGCUCAAAUGAACAUGUUUUUCAAAAUAAUUCCUUCACAUAUGAACUACAUCUACAACAUUUGAGAUGGCAAAUUUUCUAACAAAAUUUACAUUCAAAGAAACAAGAAUAAAGCUUGUAACAUAUUACAACUUUUAAAUCAAAACUAUGAAAUACAAAACCCAAAAGGAUUCACCAACUACUAGACCUAGGCUCUGAUACCACUUGAAGGAAGAUUUUGUGAAAACAUGUUCAUUUGAAUAACAUCUAUAGCAUGCAAUUAACAAUUAAAAGGCGGAAUCAUGCUUGCAUGCACUCAAAAACAAAACAU
rnacentral:lncRNA from 1 species